rfam:Fibrobacter sp. TWB8 genome assembly, contig: Ga0136280_106
GCCCUUGUAGCUCAGUUGGAUAGAGUGUCAGCCUCCGAAGUUGAAGGUCAUGCGUUCGAAUCGCAUCAAGGGUA